AAAGGAUUGAUUUACUGGUUUCAUUGAUUUAUUUUUGCUUUGAAAUUCUAUACCGUAAUUAAAGCUUUUAGCUACAUACUAAAGUAUAAUAUGUUUUUAUAGGCUAGGAAAAACUUUAAACUGUCCAUGAUUAAGUUCACAGAAAACACCAACACGAAAAAUGUUCAAACUGCUUUGGAUAAUGACAAUCUGUUGUUCAUAAGUUACUAUUUCCUCGGAACUAUUGCUGUUUUGGUGAGCAUUGGUCUCUCUUGGGAUUAUUGGAAUUAUCGAAAAAGAAAGCAAUCUGAAAAUCCUGCUCAAAAUGGUGAAAUUGAAGUGUUUGAUGGCUCAAACCCUGACUUUCACGAUAUUCCUCUCAACUCUCAGUCGGGAGAGUUUGCUCAAACACAAUUGCACAGAUCUUCACCCAAUUUGGAGCACAGAAUGGCCAUACCACUUACCAAGAUACACAGCGAGCCUGCUUCUAGCAGUGUAUAGUUUCAGAUAAGUUUAUCGUCGUGGCCAGUGUUAAUUGCAAGGUGAAUUUAUCAUAUAUAGAAAGAAUAAAAAAGAAUUUCUUCUUGUUUUUA